UCGUGCGUGGGCGGCUUGGACACGCGGCCCAAACACUGGCCGCCGGGACCGCGCCGAGCUACUGGCGAGACCGACCUGCGUUGAU
ncrna:unclassified sequences c-di-GMP-II-GAG riboswitch